rnacentral:tRNA from 1 species
GGUGGCUCAGUGGUAGAGCGCUUGCCUAGCAUGCAUGAAGUCCUGGGUUGGAUUCCCCAGUACCA